rnacentral:rRNA from 1 species
AUUGAACGCUGGCGGCAUGCCUUACACAUGCAAGUCGAACGGCAGCACGGGAGCAAUCCUGGUGGCGAGUGGCGAACGGGUGAGUAAUACAUCGGAACGUGCCCAGUAGUGGGGGAUAGCCCGGCGAAAGCCGGAUUAAUACCGCAUACGACCUGAGGGUGAAAGCGGGGGAUCGCAAGACCUCGCGCUAUUGGAGCGGCCGAUGUCAGAUUAGCUAGUUGGUGGGGUAAAGGCCUACCAAGGCAACGAUCUGUAGUUGGUCUGAGAGGACGACCAGCCACACUGGGACUGAGACACGGCCCAGACUCCUACGGGAGGCAGCAGUGGGGAAUUUUGGACAAUGGGGGCAACCCUGAUCCAGCAAUGCCGCGUGCAGGAAGAAGGCCUUCGGGUUGUAAACUGCUUUUGUCAGGGAAGAAAUCCUCUGGGUUAAUACCUCGGGGGGAUGACGGUACCUGAAGAAUAAACACCGGCUAACUACGUGCCAGCAGCCGCCGUAA